rnacentral:rRNA from 1 species
AUUGAACGCUGGCGGCAGGCCUAACACAUGCAAGUCGAGCGGAGCGGCGGACGGGGGAGUAAUGCCUAGGAAUCUGCCUGGUAGUGGGGGAUAACGUCCGGAAACGGGCGCUAAUACCGCAUACUAUCAGAUGAGCCUAGGUCGGAUUAGCUAGUUGGUGGGGUAAAGGCCUACCAAGGCGACGAUCCGUAACUGGUCUGAGAGGAUGAUCAGUCACACUGGAACUGAGUCACUGUCCAGACUCCUACGGGUGACUGCAGUGGGGAAUAUUGGACAAUGGGCGAAAGCCUGAUCCAGCCAUGCCGCGUGUGUGAAGAAGGUCUUCGGAUUGUAAGGCACUUUCUGUUGGGGGGCAUUGCCAACAAAAUAAGCACCGGCUAACUUCGUGCCAGCCGCCGCGGUAAUUC